rnacentral:piRNA from 1 species
UGCCAUAUUUCAGGUCACAGU